UACGUAGGGUCCGAGCGUUGUCCGGAAUUAUUGGGCGUAAAGAGCGUGUAGGCGGCCAGGUAGGUCUGCUGUGAAAACUCGAGGCUCAACCUCGAGACGUCGGCGGAAACCAUCUGGCUAGAGUCCGGAAGAGGAGAGUGGAAUUCCUGGUGUAGCGGUGAAAUGCGCAGAUAUCAGGAGGAACACCAACGGCGAAGGCAGCACUCUGGGGACGUUACUGACGCUGAGACGCGAAAAGCGUGGGGAGCAAACAGG
rnacentral:rRNA from 1 species